ACAGCAGUAGCCGCGGGAAUACGUAGGUGGCAAGCGUUGUCCGGAAUUAUUGGGCGUAAAGGGCUCGCAGGCGGUUUCUUAAGUCUGAUGUGAAAGCCCCCGGCUCAACCGGGGAGGGUCAUUGGAAACUGGGAAACUUGAGUGCAGAAGAGGAGAGUGGAAUUCCACGUGUAGCGGUGAAGUGCGUAGAGAUGUGGAGGAACACCAGUGGCGAAGGCGACUCUCUGGUCUGUAACUGACGCUGAGGAGCGAAAGCGUGGGGAGCGAACAGGAUUAGAUACCCCGGUAGUCCCUGUCUCUUAUAC
rnacentral:rRNA from 1 species